rnacentral:rRNA from 1 species
UACCAGCACCCCGAGUGGUCGGGACGAUUAUUGGGCCUAAAGCAUCCGUAGCCGGUCCUACAAGUCUUCCGUUAAAUCCACCUGCUUAACAGAUGGGCUGCGGAAGAUACUAUAGGGCUAGGAGGCGGGAGAGGCAAGCGGUACUCAGUGGGUAGGGGUAAAAUCCUCUGAUCCAUUGAAGACCACCAGUGGCGAAGGCGGCUUGCCAGAACGCGCUCGACGGUGAGGGAUGAAAGCUGGGGGAGCAAAAGGGAGUUAGAA